UACGGAGGGUGCAAGCGUUAUCCGGAUUCACUGGGUUUAAAGGGUGCGUAGGUGGGCAGGUAAGUCAGUGGUGAAAUCUCUGGGCUUAACCCGGAAACUGCCAUUGAUACUAUUUGUCUUGAAUAUCGUGGAGGUCAGCGGAAUAUGUCAUGUAGCGGUGAAAUGCUUAGAUAUGACAUAGAACACCAAUUGCGAAGGCAGCCGGCUACACGAAUAUUGACACUGAUGCACGAAAGCGUGGGGAUCAAACAGG
rnacentral:rRNA from 1 species